rnacentral:rRNA from 1 species
AGCGAACGCUGGCGGCAGACUUAACACAUGCAAGUCGAGCGCCUGUAGCAAUACAGGAGCGGCAGACGGGUGAGUAACACGUGGGAACGUGCCUUUUGGUUCGGAAUAACUCAGGGAAACUUGAGCUAAUACCGAAUAAGCCCUUCGGGGAAAGAUUAUCGCCGAAGAUCGGCCCGCGUAAGAUUAGCUAGUUGGUGAGGUAAUGGCUCACCAAGGCUACGAUCUUUAGCUGGUCUGAGAGGAUGAUCAGCCACACUGGGACUGAGACACGGCCCAGACUCCUACGGGAGGCAGCAGUGGGGAAUAUUGGACAAUGGGCGCAAGCCUGACGCAGCGACGCCGCGUGGGGGAUGAAGGUUUUCGGAUUGUAAACCCCUUUCAUGAGGAAAGAUAAAGUGGGUAACCACUUAGACGGUACCUCAAGAAGAAGCCACGGCUAACUUCGUGCCAGCAGCCGCGGUAAUGUCUAGCG